CCUACGGGUGGCAGCAGUGAGGAAUAUUGGUCAAUGGACGAGAGUCUGAACCAGCCAAGUAGCGUGAAGGAUGACUGCCCUAUGGGUUGUAAACUUCUUUUAUAUGGGAAUAAAAUGUUCCACGUGUGGGAUUUUGUAUGUACCAUAUGAAUAAGGAUCGGCUAACUCCGUGCCAGCAGCCGCGGUAAUACGGAGGAUCCGAGCGUUAUCCGGAUUUAUUGGGUUUAAAGGGAGCGUAGGUGGAUUGUUAAGUCAGUUGUGAAAGUUUGCGGCUCAACCGUAAAAUUGCAGUCGAAACUGGCAGUCUUGAGUACAGUAGAGGUGGGCGGAAUUCGUGGUGUAGCGGUGAAAUGCUUAGAUAUCACGAAGAACUCCGAUUGCGAAGGCAGUUCACUGGACUGCAACUGACACUGAGGCUCGAAAGUGUGGGUAUCAAACAGGAUUAGAUACCCGUGUAGUC
rnacentral:rRNA from 1 species